rnacentral:rRNA from 1 species
CCUGGCGACUAUAGCGAUUUGGAACCACCUGAUACCAUCUCGAACUCAGAAGUGAAAUAUUUCCGCGCCAAUGAUAGUGUGAGGCUUCCUCAUGCGAAAGUAGGUCAUCGCCAGGG